rnacentral:misc_RNA from 1 species
UUUCCUUUAAAUGAAGCUUAAUUCCGAUUGCCAUUUUUUGACAGAUAACUCGAUGUUUUUCUUUUUUGCUAGCAAAUUCAAAAACAUAAAAGUUUUAUCUUUAGCAUGCCAUUUGAUUGGACCAUUAUAACUUACAAGUUUUAAAUGUAAUCAGAUUAGUAUUUUUGUUCCAUGUUAAAUCAACUGAGUGAUCAGCAUGAAAGCAAGUAACGGAGAAAUAUUUCAUCAAUUUGACCAGAAUUCAAAGAAAAAAGAUGAAUUAUUCAGUCAUAAGUCUUUAUUAACUUUACAUCAGGCAGCUCGUGAAGGUCAAGUAAAGCUUGUGGAGCAGUAUUUAAAAUUGUAUUGGAAAGAUAAAAAGAAACUUAAUGAAAAAGAUGAAGAGGAAACAACAGCUCUUCAUUAUGCAGUUCGCUAUGGUCAUUUUGACAUUGUUAAAACUCUUGUUGCAUAUGGAGCAAAUGUGAAUAUACCAGGUGAAAAUGGGGCUACUCCAUUACACUAUGCAUCUCGUUACACAGUGAGAAAAAAUGAAGAAAUAAACAUUGAAAUCAAGCAGCAAAUGACAACCUAUCAGAAAUUUAGUUUACAUAAAGGAUUGAAACAUUUUGAUAUAUUUUUUGGGGACAAGACAAAAAACCUUGCAAAAAAGCAAAGUAAAGAAAUUACACGAAAGAAAAAAGUUUCACUUGAUAUUUCUCAUAAAGGAUCCAGCACUAUGUAUACUAAUCAAGUUACUAAUAAUACUUCUAGUAUAAAACCUAAAUCACCAUACAAUAAAAGAAAUAGCAUUUUUUCUAAACCCAAAACAAGUUUUUUAUAUCAUUAUGAACAUAAUCAAAAUGAAGAUAAAAAAAAAAGUGCAGUUGUCAUUGUAGGUAAUUUAAAUCAAGAAGAGAUUGCUGAAAUGAAAACUAUAGAUGCACUUAUAAUACCAACUGUAAAAAACGUAACUUCUAUAUCUAAAAUUAGUUUAAGUAAAAACAAUAGUGCUGGUUCAAUAAGUGCAACAACCAAUCUCAGUGAUCAUUUUAAAGAGAAGUUUAAUAAAAAGAAUAAAAAACUGUUUAAAUGGAAAAAAAAUAAUGAUAGUAAACAAAAGGACUCUAUUUUGAUGUUUUUGUUAGAGCAAAAGGUAAAUGUUAAUGCUAAAGAUAUCAAUGGUUCCACUCCUCUCCAUUAUGCUGCUACAAGAGGAAACCUGUUUGCAACGGAUUUGCUACUUAAGCAAAAGAACAUUCAUAUUGAGGCUGUUGAUCAAUCAAAAAUGACACCAUUGCAUUGUGCUUCAAUUGCUGGUUCAUUUGAAGUAUGUGAAAUGUUGUUGAAGCAUGAAGCUUCAAUUUUAUGUCAGGAUAAAGAAAGUAUGACGCCUUUGCAUUGGGCUGCUAUGGAGGGUCAUUUAGAUAUUGUUCAACUACUUUUCAAUCAUGCUGAGAAUCAAGGUGGUUAUUGUUUGGUUGCCAAGUUAUUUCUUGCAUCUAAUCGAAAUGAACAAACUGCUCUUCAUCUUGCAGUUGAGAACAAUCACAUAGAUAUAGUCAAAUUAUGUAUCGAUAAAGGUUCUAAUGUAAACUUAGUACAAGCAAACAUGAAUUCUCCUCUUCAUCUUGCUUGCACCUCAGGGUUUUUUGAGAUUGCAAAGCUUCUUGUUGAAAGUGGUGCUAACAUUGAAUCAAAGAACUCUCUGCAGGAAACACCAUUGCACAAAGCUACAUUGUUUAAUCACUUUGAAAUUAUUGAGUUCUUGUUAGUGAGAAGAGUACAUGUUGAUUGUUGUGAUAAAGACAAUGAAACACCCUUACUUAUAGCUGUGCGUAAAAAUUAUUUUGAAUCAGUAAAAUUGUUGCUUGAAUAUUCUGCAAGCAUAUAUGCAAAAGAUGCAAAUGAUAAAACAUGCUUAUUUUUAGCUGCUGAAGAAAAUUCUAAAGAAGCAUUAGAGAUUUUGUGUAAGUAUGAUAUUAAGAAUCUUUUGGAAGAAAUUAAUAAGUAUGGUAUGACACCACUUCAUAUUGCAGCAAAAGAAGGACAUGAUAAUAUUGUUCAAACUCUCUUGAACUUAGGGGCGUGUAUUGAUGCAAAAUGUCAUGAAAGUCUUACUCCUCUACAUCUUGCUGCAAAGAAUGGUCACUUUAGAAUUGUUCAACUCUUACUGUCAAAUGUUUUAAGCAUUGUUAAUGAUGUUGAUGAUUCUUCAAACACACCUCUUCAUCUUGCUGCAAUGGAAGGUCAUGUUAAAAUUGUUGAAAUGCUUAUUGAGGUUGGUUCAGCAGUUCAUACUAGAAAUGCGAAUCAAAUGACUCCAUUAGACUGUGCUUCUUAUCGUGGUUGGAACCAAUGUGCACAAUGUUUAUUAGAUGCUGACUCUAUUAUAAAUCCUUCUGAUAAGGUCAAGAUAACAUCAUUGCAUCUUGCUAGUAAAGAAGGACAUGUUGAUAUUGUAAACUUAUUGUUGUCAAAAAAUGCUGAUGUUACUCGCAAAGAUCAUCUUGGAAAAAACUGUUUAGAUUAUGCAAUUGAGAAUAAUCAUAGAGAGGUUGCUAUGGCAAUUAUUGGAUGUAAUAACUGGAAAAAUGCUUUGCGAAACUCAACUGUUGAAGGGAAUAAACUUACAACACCAAUGAGAAAGUUAAUUAAAAAAUUUCCAGAUGUUGCAGAGCAAGUCUUUAAUCAAUGCAUUUCAGAUAAUGGUCUACCUCCAAAAGAUCCCCAAUUCAAAAUUACGUGCUCUUAUGAGUUUCUUGAAGAUACCUUUGCUCCAUGGUGCACUAUUUCCACAGAUAGUAACAAGCAGCAGUAUCCAAGCAAAUUAUUGGAAAAUUCUUAUAGAACAUCAUUUUUCUCAAUAUUUUCUGGUAUAAGAACAAGGUUUUUAGUCAAUUGGAUGAGAAAAAAUGAUUUCAAACAAAAUCAUCCUUUGAAGUUUAUGGUUCAAAAUGAGCAUACUGAUCUUCUGUGUCAUCCUUUGGUUACUUACUUGUUGAGGUGCAAAUGGAGUUGUUGUGGGCGAUACGCAUAUUAUUCCAGACUGUUUUUGUAUAUGAUUUUUCUUUUAUUUAUUAAUGGUUAUGCUUUAACAUUGAGGUCUAAUUUAUACCAACUUAAUACAAAUGAAACAGUUUUAUAUUGCCAACCUAUUCAUGCAGUAAGUGUAAGCUCUUCAGUGAAGUUUUUUGUUAAUCCUGCCAGAUAUCUUGUCAUAAUAUUAUGUUCUUUGAGUUUAGGAAUAGAGUUUGUUAAGCUUCUUACAGAUCCCUACCAUUACAUUCAUAUACACAGGGUUGUUGAGUUAGCAGCUUAUAUUUGUUCAUUGAUUUAUGCAACACAAUUUAAACCCUUUGACAGUGAUAUGUUCAUAUUUACAACGUCAACUUGGAGGAGCUAUUGUAACACUAUCAUGGUUAGGUUUUGUGCUGCUUAUGAGAAGGUUUCCUAAACUUGGAAUUUAUGUUGUUAUGUUCCUUCAUAUCUUAAAGACAUUUACCCAAAUUUUUCCUAUCUGGGUUUUAUUUAUUAUUGCAUUUGGUUUGGGUUUUCAUUUAAUUAUGUUUGUUGAACUGAGCUCAUUUUCAACACCUGCUCGCUCUUUUGUUAUGUUGUUAACUGCCAUGGGUGGAGAAUUUAAUUUUGACACUAUAUUUAACCCUGAUCCACCAUUCUAUACACUGGCUAUUGCUUGGCCAAUGUAUGCUAUUUUUCUGGUUAUUGAUUGUCUUGUGCUUAUGAGUUUGU